CUUUUCAACAGCGGACAGGCUUGCAGUGCUUUUCUUUCAGAUCUUACAGCAAUGUUUUGCAUCAGGCAUUAAUAUAAUUAUCUGCCACUGUCUGUGACAUGGAUGGUGUAAAUAGACGAGCACUGUAAAUCUUGGGUGCAACUGUGGAGCGCCCAUACAUAACAGUGCAUAACAAAGAGAUUGUGACAUUGAGUGCACUACUAACAUUUCAUCUGAAGACAAGAAAGGAAAAGGUGUGGCCAAAUGGUCACACAUAAAAGAUUUCUUUGAAAUCGACAACAAACCCCAAAUUUUGUGUUCGCUCCUGCUUUCACAAAGAAAUGCAAAACAAAAAAUGUGCGUCAAACUAGCUGCACAAGUUUUGAGCCACACAGUGGCAGCGGACUUUAUGCAAAGAUAGCUGAUGGCGCGCUCAGUACAGAAGCUGCUGUUACUGCAAAUGUGAUAUCACAUAUGGACAAGCUUUUUGACGCCCUGAAUAGCGACUCAGCAGACUUGCGGCGAGGAAAAAUUUUCUCCACAAACUUGACAGCGAAAAGCCCACACCACAAAUUAUUUCAGAAUAUGAAAUAUUUUUUGAAAACAUUGAAAUUUAUGGGGUCUCUGCGAACACCCCCAUCACAGGAAGGUUGGAUUUGGACCAUUAAUGGCGUCGAGCGACUGUUUAAGCAAUUCGCUAACGAGGGUAUAAAGAGCCUGGCCACAAGACGGUUACAGCAAGAUCCAUUAGAAAAUUUGUUUGGCUGCAUAAGGGGCAACUGUGGGCACAUAUUGGGACCACAGGAUGAAAUUGUGAAACUGACAAUAGUGUCGUAAUGAAUAACUAUGAGACAUUAUUGUCAGUUUCACAACCCAGAAAUUGCGCAUUUUAAUAAUUAAUUGCGCAGUUAAUAAUUGUGAGAGUUGUUUGCACUAUGCAAAUAAAUUAAACAUUAAUAAAUUCGACAUUAGAAAAUAGUCACAAACGCGUAAUUUAAAAACAAUUGCAAAGGAAAUGGUGCUCCAAAAUGUAAAUUUUGAUUGCAUAAAAAAUUUUGUGAUGUGAUAAAAAAUGUGAAAAGAUUUUGUAUACUAAAAAACAGAUUGUUUGCAGAUGAAGCAUCGGCAUCUGCGCUCUAACGCAAGAUGAAGAUAAUUAUGCAUAAAUAAUAAUUAUUUUGUUGGUGCUUGCUUCCUCUUGUAAAGACUCAUGAACAAGUUACUGUGGUUUAUGUAAAUUAUUCAUUUGUAGAGAAGAAGUAGCGAAGAAACUUUUCAUUUGAAUUACCUAGGUACGAACAUUACAAAAUUAUGUUGAUUUCGUGUCCAAGCAUCCAUAAAAGUGAAAUAAAUAACAAUUCAAUGAGAAAACGUUUUUGUUUUAUUUCAAGUUCAUUUGUUAAAUAUUAUUAAUAAUUUUCUGGGG